GGGGAAUUUUCCGCAAUGGGCGAAAGCCUGACGGAGCAAUACCGCGUGAGGGAUGAAGGCCUAUGGGUUGUAAACCUCUUUUUUCAGGGAGGAAUUAAUGACGUGUACCUGAAGAAUAAGCAUCGGCUAACUCCGUGCCAGCAGCCGCGGUAAGACGGAGGAUGCAGGUGUUAUCCGGAAUCACUGGGCGUAAAGCGUCUGUAGGUGGUUUAAUAAGUCAACUGUUAAAUCUUGAAGCUCAACUUCAAAAUCGCAGUCGAAACUAUUAGACUAGAGUAUAGUAGGGGUAAAGGGAAUUUCCAGUGGAGCGGUGAAAUGCGUAGAGAUUGGAAAGAACACCGAUGGCGAAGGCACUUUACUGGGCUAUUACUGACACUCAGAGACGAAAGCUAGGGUAGCAAAUGGGAUUAGAUACCCCAGUAGUC
rnacentral:rRNA from 1 species